rnacentral:rRNA from 1 species
UAGGGAAUCUUCCGCAAUGGACGCAAGUCUGACGGAGCAACGCCGCGUGAGUGAAGAAGGAUUUCGGUUCGUAAAACUCUGUUGUUAGAGAAGAACAGCGCAUAGAGUAACUGUUAUGCGUGUGACGGUAUCUAACCAGAAAGCCACGGCUAACUACGUGCCAGCAGCCGCGGUAAUACGUAGGUGGCAAGCGUUGUCCGGAUUUAUUGGGCGUAAAGCGAGCGCAGGCGGUCAAUUAAGUCUGAUGUGAAAGCCCCCGGCUCAACCGGGGAGGGUCAUUGGAAACUGGUUGACUUGAGUGCAGAAGAGGGGAGUGGAAUUCCAUGUGUAGCGGUGAAAUGCGUAGGUAUAUGGAGGAACACCAGUGGCGAAGGCGACUCUCUGGUCUGUAACUGACGCUGAGGCUCGAAAGCGUGGGUAGCAAACAGG